UCUUGGUCAUUUAGAGGAAGUAAAAGUCGUAACAAGGUUUUCGUAGGGAACCUGCGGAAAAGUCUCAUUA
rnacentral:rRNA from 1 species